GACGAAGGGGGCUAGCGUUGUUCGGAAUUACUGGGCGUAAAGCGCGUGUAGGCGGUUGCCCAAAUCGGGUGUGAAAGCCUUGAGCUCAACUCAAGAAAUGCACUCGGUACUGGGUGACUAGAGGACCGGAGAGGAUAGUGGAAUUCCCAGUGUAGUGGUGAAAUACGUAGAGAUUGGGAAGAACACCAGUGGCGAAGGCGGCUAUCUGGACGGUUUCUGACGCUAAGACGCGAAAGCGUGGGGAGCAAACAGG
rnacentral:rRNA from 1 species